CAGUAGCCGCGGGAACACGUAGGUGGCAAGCGUUGUCCGGAAUUAUUGGGCGUAAAGCGCGCGCAGGCGGUUUCUUAAGUCUGAUGUGAAAGCCCCCGGCUUAACCGGGGAGGGUCAUUGGAAACUGGGAAACUUGAGUGCAGAAGAGGAGAGUGGAAUUCCACGUGUAGCGGUGAAAUGCGUAGAGAUGUGGAGGAACACCAGUGGCGAAGGCGACUCUCUGGUCCGUAACUGACGCUGAGGAGCGAAAGCGUGGGGAGCGAACAGGAUUAGAUACCGCGUAGUCCCUGUCUCUUAUACA
rnacentral:rRNA from 1 species